rnacentral:sRNA from 1 species
GGCCAACAUGGUGAAACACUGUCUCUACUAAAAAUACAAAAAUUAGCUGGGUGUGGUGGCACACACCUGUAGUCCCAGCAACUCGGGAGGCUGAGGCACGAGAAUUGCUUGAACCUGGGAGGCAGAGGUUGCAGUGAGCCGAAAUCACACCACUGGCAACACAGCGAGACUCUGUCUCAAAAAAAAAAAAAAAAUUAUCGGGCAUGGUGGCGGGUGCCUGUAAUCCCAGCUACUUAGGAGGCUGAGGCAGGAGAAUUGCUUGGACCCAGAGGUGGAGAUCGUAAUGAGCUGAGACCAUGCCAUUGCGCACAAGCCUGGGUGACAAGAGCGAAAACACGGCCUCAAAAAAAAAAAAAAAGAAAAAUGUUUUUAAAUUAGCCAGGCAUGAGGGUGGGUGCUCACGCCUGUAAUCCCAGCACUUUGGGAGGCUGAGGCGGGCAGAUCACCUGAGGUUGGGAGUUCGAAACCAGCCUGGCCAACAUGGCGAAACCCCAUUUCUACUAAAAAUACAAAAAUUAGCCAGGCCUAAUGGUGUAUGUCUGUAAUUCCAGCUACUUGGGAGGCUGAGGCACAAGAAUCACCUGAAUCCGGGAGGUGGAGGUUGCAGUGAGCCGAGACUGUGCUACUGCACUCCAAACUGGGUAACAGAGCGAGACUCUGUCUCAAAAAAAAAAAAAAAAAAAAAAAAAAUAUUAGCCAGGCAUGGAGGUGCAUGCCUAUAGUUCCAGCUACGCAGGAGGCUGACAGGUGGAUCACUUGAGCCCCAGAGUUCCAGGCUGCAGUGAACCAUGAUCAUGCUACUGCACUCCAGGCUGGGCAACAGACCAAGACCCUGUCUCUUUUAAAAAAAAAAAAAAAAAAGAAGCUGUGCACGGUGGCUCACGCCUGUAAUCCCAACACUUUGGGAGGCUGAGGCAGGCAGAUCACAAGGUCAGGAGUUCGAGACCAGCCUGACCAACAUGGUGAAACCCCAUCUCUACUAAAAAUACAAAAAUUAGCUGGGCAUGGUUGAGCGUGCCUGUAAUCCCAGCUACUUGGGAGGCUGAGGCAGGAGAAUCACCUGAAUCCGGGAGGCAGAGGUUGCAGUGAGCCAAGAUUGUGUCACUGCACUCCAGCCUAGGCAACAGAGUGAGACUCCAUCUCAAAAAAAAACAAAAGAAAAAGAAAAAGAAAGAGAAAGAAGAGAGAAAGAGAGGAAGAAAGAAAGGGAAAGAAGGAAGGAAGGGAGGGAGGGAAAGAAAGAAAGAAAGAGGAAAGAAGAAAGAAAGAGAAAGAGAGGAAGAAAGAAAGAAAAAGAGAAAGAAAAAAAGAAAGAAAAAGAAAGAAAAUGAAAAAUAUGAUUAAUACAGGCAUAUCUCUGGUUUAUGUUGUUGUCAGAAUGUUGGCCCACACUGCAGUCAUUCAAAGGCUUGACUGGGUCUGGAGCCACUUUUAAGGUUGCUCACUCACAUGCCUGGCAAGCUGGGGCUAGCUGUUGAUGGGAGGACUUAGGUUCUCCCCAUGCAGGCCUCUCCAUAGGGCUACUGAGUGUCCUCACAACAUGGCAGCAGGCUUCCCCUAGAAUGAGUAAUUUAAGAGAGCAAGGCAGAAGCAACAAUGGUUUUUAUGAGCUGCCCUCAGAAAUCACUCUUUGAAAUGAAUCACUAAGUCCAGCCUACUUUCAAGGGGAAGGGAUGAGUCUCCACCUUCUGAAAGGAGAGAUGUCAAGGAACUUGCAGGCAUAUCUUAAAACUAUCAGAUCUGCUAGGCCCAGUGGCUCAUGCCUGUAAUCCUAGCACUUUGAGAGGCCAAGGCAGGGGGAUUACUUGAGGCUAGGAAUUUGAGACCAGCCUGGGCAACAUAGUGAGAUCCCAUCUCUACAAAUUUUUUAAAAAAUUAGCCAGGUGUGGUGAUAUGCACCUGUUGUCUCAGCUACUGGGGAGGCUGAGAUGGGAGGAUCUCAGCCACAAGUUCAAGGCUGCCAUGAGCUAUGAUCACAUCACGGCACCCCAGCCUGGGCAACAGAGUGAGACCCUGUCUCUAAAAAAAAUAAUAGUAAUAAUAACCAUCAGAUCAUUUCUUACUACAAGGGAGUCAGGGAAAACAACGGAGAACAGGAUUGUCAUGACUAGCCUAGACCAAUCACAGUUCGCCAACUGGGACACACUGCCACCACAGACAGAAAUCAGGGCUCAGUUAUCAAGGAAGUAGAAGGAAGGUUAAUGGGGAGGCAGUCAAGAGUAUCUGCCACAGCCAGGAUGAUGCAGGAGGAAGAAAAUAGGGUUGCUCGAUAAAUGUAUAUCCUGAUAUUCCGUGGGACAUAAACUAAAACGUUGUUUAUCUGAACUCAAAUUCAACUGGGUGUCCUACAUUUAUAUUGGCUCAAUUUAGUGUCCCUAAGUGAGAAACAAGCUUCAGUGGCCAUCGCAGGAAGUCAGCAAGGACUGGGACUUCUUUGGAAAGAGAAACAAAAGAAGACCUGGGGUGAUCUGCAGGGGAGAGGCAAGUCGCUGGGACAGAAAAAGAGGAGGUGGCCAGGCACAGUUGCUCAGGCCUGUAAUCCCAACACUUUGGGAGGCCAAGAUGGGCAGAUCACUUGAGUCCAGGAGUUCGAGACCAGCCUGGGCAAUGUGGCAAAACCCUGUCUGAACUAAAACCACAAAAACUAGCUGAGUGUGAUGGCACAUGCCUAUAGUCCCAGCUACUCUGGAGGCUGAGGUGGGAGCGUCACCUGAGCCUGGGAGGUCAAGGCUGCAGUGGGCUGUGAUCACAGCACUGCACUCCAGCCUGAGCAACAGAGCAAUACCCUGUCUCACAAAAAGAAAGACAGGAGAUUGGGGAGGCUGAGGUCUCUUGUUUUCUUAUUCACUGCUGCCACCCCAACACCACAUGUGGACGCCACCACCACCACCACAAAAAAAGGUAUCCACAGUUUUUUUCUUUUGAGACUGUCUUGCUGUGUCACCCAGGCUGGAGUGCAGUGGUGCCAUCUCGGCUCACGGCAACCUCUACCUCCAGAGUUCAAGCAAUUCCCCUGCCUCAGCCUCCUGAGUAGCUGGGAUUACAGGCGCCCGCCACCACAUCCAGCUAAUUUUUGUAUUUUUAAUAGAGAUGGGGUUUCACCAUGUUGGCCAGGCUGCCAGGCUGGUCUCAAACUCCUGACCUCAAGUGAUCCCCCUGCCUCAGCCUCCCAAAGAGCUGGGAUUACUCGUGUGAGCCACUGUGCUUGGCCCCACCGCCCCACAUUUUUUUUUUUUUUUUUUUUUUUUUGGAGAUGGGGUCUCACUCUGUCUCCCAGGCUGGAGUGCAAUAACCAAUCACAGCUCACUGCAGCGUCAACCUCGCAAACUCAGGUGAUCUUCCUACCUCAGCCUCCUGAGUAGCCGGGACCAUGGGCACGCACUACCAUGCCCAGCUAAUGUUUACAAAAUUUUUGUAGAGACGGGGUCUCCCUAUGUUGCCCAAGCUGGUAUGUUCACUCUUCAUCUCAAAACAUAGCCAGGAAGCUCUAGCCAGGAAGCUCUAGCCAGGAGCACUUCUCUUUCCAACACCCUGAAAAACAGCUCAUAAAGCUGAAAUGGGGGCCGAGGGGCGUGCCGCAAAAUACAUCCCAGGGGUAUGGGAACUGGGAGCCUCACUACGUGACCUCAGGCAAGGCCCUCCCCUCUCUGGGCCUCCUUUUCCUUGGCUGUGUAAUGAGGGAUUGAUCUAAAUUGUCUCCAAGGGCCCUUUUACUUGGACCAUGUGUCUCCCUCCCAAAAGGAAAAACUAGAGGGAACCAAAAGAUGUGGGUGGUUUCCCUUGUUCCAUCUCCAAGCCCCAAAUUUGGAUGAAAAUGUCCAGUGUGACAUAGAUUUAAUAUAAACACUGGUGCAUUAACACUCACAAAUACCCCAAAAGGAGUCCCAGAUGGGCUAUUUUUAUCCCUUAAAACACACACACACAGAAACACACAACACUCCAAUCCCCAUCACCCGCACUUGGUCAGUAUCUCCAGUUGGUUUUUACGAGAAGAGAGAGUUCCAGUUAAAGGGAGCUAAUUAAACAGCUUUGACUUGGGGCGGGAAAGAGGCUGUAGAAAGCCUCCUCGCUGGGCAUGAUGUCACCACAAUUGUGCGUUUCUCAUGACCCAAGAAUGUGAAUGUGUUUGCACUGCACAUCGGAGCCAGAGCCGGUGAUGCAAGCACAGCCUGGUAAACAGGCCCCAGACAGGCAGGCCCUGUGAGGAGCCCUGGUGCAGAGGCCUGGCAGGGGCCCAGCUAGUGUUUAACUCCUUCCUGGCAGAACUGGCUGCUGGGCCGCUAAGGUUUGGUCAAGGAGCCUUCUCCACCCGUCCCUGCUUCUCUCUGAGGCACAGUCCCUGUUAGUGGCAAGCCCUCAAUCUGGAGACACAGUAGACCUGCAUUCCCACCCACCUGCAUGUUUUGCUCGCUCGGGAGCCUUGGAUAGGUGACUCUCUGGUCCCGAGUCUCAGUUUUCUUAUCUGUACAACGGGAAGAGGAAUCAGGCCCUCAAUCUCAUACCUACAGCUCCAAGUUCAGAAAAUUCAGACAGCCAGAGGCUUUUCUCCACACUUAGUGAAAACUCAUUCAGGAGCAAUAUCUGACCUGGAUUGACUGAGGGUGUGCAAUCUGUUCAUUUCACUUAGAGUCAAUACUCACACUUCUAGCUACAGAAAUAUUCGUAUGUUUCAUUGGAGAUGGAUGGAUCCAGACCCCACUGGAUUACCUUUUAAAAUCUAAAAAAAUCCUGAAUUCUGAGGCUGAGAGCAGUGGCUCAUGCCUGUAAUCCCAGCACUUUGGGAGGCCGAGGCGGGAGGAUCACUUGAACCCAGGAGUUUGAGGUUGCAGUGAGCCAUGACUGUGCCACUGCACUCCAGCCUGAAUAACAGACCGAGACCCUGGCUAAAAAAAAAAAAAAAAAAAAAAAAAAAAGAAUUCUGAAACCUAUCCAGCCACAAGUGUGUUGAUUAGGUCUUAUGGGCCUGAGGCACCUGCCUCUAGCCUGUUGGGAAACUUACUGAGCGACUGCCUUCUGCUAGAAUGUCAGCCCCCAAGGACAGGGCUUAACUCUGUCCCCGAUGUGUCCCCAGCAGCCAGUGCAGUACCUGGCAUGUAGCAAGCACCCAAACAAUAGUUUUUGAAUCUUUAGCUGAAGUUAUUCAUCCCCCAUACAUGCCGUGGUGGUGAAUAUGGGAAACUGAGGCCCAAGCCUCUGAGCUGGUCUGCCCUAGAUCUUUUCCCACAGAUGAUGUUCUGACUUUCCCCCAAAAAAGGUAGCUGUUCACCUUUCUCUGCCAGCAGCUCACAAACAGCUUGAUGACCCCCCUCCAACAUUCCAGGGCAGCUGGCUGGUUUUGCGGGCACCAAUGAGUUUUCUUUGGCCAAAGGUUCAGCCGAUUAAAAAAGGGGGCCCCCAUGCAUUAAAGCUGGGGGUGGGGAACGGGCAGUCACAGAGUAGAGUAGGGGCUGAAGGUGUCAUUAAAGCUCGGGUGAGGGGAGUGGAAAUAGAAUCUGCUAGCUGGCCUGAGACUAAAAGCCAGAUCCCUGGAUCCUUCCAGAGGACUAUGAAUGUGCUAGUCAGGCUCUGCCUUAAUCCUAAAGCUGGAGAAUUAUCCAGACCCAUGAAGAGCUGCCAGGAAGAAAAAAUUCCUCCCCAAUGUGGUCUGCCCUACCCCCACCUUCCAUGGGGCCCUGAGAAACUCCCUUUUCCUCUCUUGGCUUCAACAUAAUGGAGUUGGAGAAUCCAAGACAGUGGAUCAGAGCUCCUGAGAUCAUGGACUUAGACUCAGGUUCAGGCCCAGACUCUUCCUCUUGCUGGGCAAGGAGCUACCGCAAGUCAAUUUCAAGCCUUAGUUAUCACAUCUGUAAAAUGGCACUAAGUUAGAGGGAUAUUGUCCAGAUGAAUGUGUCUGUUACAUAGUAGCAAUAAAAAAGACAUUAGCUGGCCAGGCAUGGUGGCUCACGCCUGUAAUCCUAACAAUUUGGGAGGCCAAGGAGGGCGGAUCACUUGAGGCCAGGAGUUGGAGACCAGCCUGGCCAACACAGUGAAACCCUGUCUCUACUAAAAAUACAAAAAUUAGCUGGGCAUAGUGGCUUGUGCCUGUAAUCCCAGCUACAUGGGAGGCUGAGGCAGGAGAAUUGCUUGAACCUGGGAAGUGGAGGUUGAAGUGAGCCGAGAUCAGGCCAUUGCACUCCAGCCUGGGUGACAGAGCGAGAUUCUGUCUCAAAAAAAGAGCAACAUUAGCUAAUAUUACCCUCAGCAUGGAUACUCCUACCAGUCUAAUGUUCUGUUUUAGGUACUUAGUACCAUCAUAGCCUCAUUGUUGGAGCACUCACUAUGUUCCAGGUACUACGCUAAGUGCUUCACAAGCAUUGUUUCAUUUCAUCCUCCCAACAUCUCUCAAAUAGGUACUAGCACUGUCCUCACUAUUCAGGGGAGAAGUCUGCGGUUCAGAGGGGUGAAGUGAUUCCUCUAAGACUGCAUAACUUGUAAGUGGCAGAGCUAGGACCUGUCAGACUCUAAGCGCUUCAUACCACACCUACAGGAAAUAUCUAGCAGCCAGUUCCAUGCUCAGUUUCUUGAAGCAUGAGAUUCCAGGCCCCUAAUAUGGCAUGUGACUGUGGGCAGUACAGAGGCCUCAAUUCUCCCAUCUGAACCAUGGGGAAGGUCCCCCCGCCCUGAAUCCCCUACAGGGCUGAGAGGAGGGCUCUGGAAACCUUGAAAAGGACUUUGUAGACUCUGAGCUGGGCACCCUCAAAGGCUUGGUUAGGAGGGAGACAAGAGAAAGAAUUAAUCCACUUCCCGCCAAGGAAGCCAAGAGCUGAAGGAGAAAUGGUCCGUGUCCUCCUCCAGGGCCUGCCCCUCAGCAUGGUUCCUCCCUUUGUUAGGAGGGUUAAGAACUUGGCCAAGUCUCAGCUCCACUCAUCUCUGGCUGUAUGUUCUUUGUACUUCCCCUCUCUGAGUGUCGGGCUUCGCAACUGUGAAAUGGGGGUGAUAAUGAUAACAGCCUUACCAGGACUGUAGUAAGGACAAGCCUUGGCCCAUUGGUUCAUUGUCUUAGUCUGCUCCUGUUGUUAUAACAAAAUACCUCAGACUCAGUAAUAUAUAAACAACAGAAAUAUGUUGCUCAUAGUUCUAGAGGCCGAGAAAUCCAAGAACAAGGUGUCAGUAGAUUGGGUGUCAAUGAGGGCCUGUUCCUCAUAGAUGACGUCUUCUAUGUGUCUUUACAUGGUAGAAGGGGUGAACAAACUCCCUCAGGCUUCUUUUAUAAGGGCACUAAUCCCAUUUAUAAGGAUGGAGCUUCAUGAAGUGAUCGCCCCCAAAAGUCCCACCUCUUAAUACUACCACAUUGCAGAUUACGUUUCAAUAUAUAAAUUGGAGGAGACACAUUGAGACACAUGGAUAUUGGUUGAAUAAUUAUCUUUCUUUUUUCUUUUUUUUUUUUUUUUUUUGAGACAGAGUCUUACUCUGUUGCCUAGACUGGAGUGCAAUGGCACGAUCUUGGCUCACUGCAACCUCUACCUCCUGGAUUCAAGUGAUUCUUCUGUCUCAGCCUCCCAAGUGGCUGGGAUUACAGAUGCACGCCACCAUGCCUGGCUAAUUUUUGCAUUACUAGUAGAGGCAGGGUUUCACCAUGUUGGCCAGGCUGGUCUCGAACUCCUGACCUCAAGUGAUCCGCCCACCUCGGCCUCCCAAAGUGCUGGGAUUACAGGCGUGAGCCACCAUGCCUGCCCUGAAUAAUUAUCUUUUGACACCUGGUCUGCAAUUCUUAUGGAGUUUCCGGUCUGGAAGAAGAGUCUGUAUGUAAUGUGUUUGGCACAGGUAGGUGCCCAAUGGGUGGGUAGAUGGAUGGAUGGAUGGAUGGGUGGAUGGAUGAGAUGAGUGACUUACUGCAGGUCUCACAGUUAUAAAGUAACUCUUCCUUAUAGCUCACACUGGCCACCAAAGACACAUUAAGCACUGAUUAGAGAGGUACUCCGUGGACCAAAUUACUUGAGCAAAGUCUUAGAAUUAGGAAUUAUUGCAGCAUGGAUGAGAGGCAUUCAUUUUAUGUUCUCUUUUAGUAUUUUUCCCAACAAGAUCCUGAGAAGGAGGAUCUGGAUGGAGGUUCUGCCAGAGCCCCCUGGAGCAGAGCCAGGAAAUUGAGUAGGGAGUAGCGCCCCACAGCCCAUAUGAGCAGGCAGGAGCAGGCCAAGCCUGAGGGUCGGGCCUCAGAGGCCUGGCCUGGCCGUAUUUAGUUUUCAAGGAACUGGAAGGCUUCUCACCUCCUCUGCUGUCCAGGCACAGAAGCAAGGCCACCCACAGUUGCUGAGUCAGGGAGGCCCCUAGGGCAGGAACAGAGGCCCCACAAUGGGGUAACUUGAACACAGUGGUUCAGAGCCUGGUCUCUGUCAAGAAGAUAUGGUGCUGGGAACAGUGGUGUGUCCCUGUGGUUCGCGCUCCUCGGAAGGCUGAGGCAGGAGGAUAAGCCUAGGGAUUCUUGAGCCCAAGAGUUCUAGGCUGUAGUGUGCUAUAUUGAUCGAGUGUCUGUGCUAAGUUCAGCUUCAAUAUGGUGACCUCCUGUAAGCAGGGGUGUCUAAGGAGGGGUGAACAGGCCCAAGAUGAAAAUGGAGCAGGUCAAAACUGUGCUGAUCAGUGGUGGGAUUGUGACUGUGAAUAGCCACUGCAUUCCACCCUAGACAACAUAGUGAGACUCUGUCUCUAAAAGUAAAUAAAUAGGCUGGGCGCAGUGGGCUCACGCCUGUAAUCCCAGCACUUUAGGAGGCCAAGGCGGGCAGAUCACUUGAGGUCAGGAGUUCAAGACCAGCCUGGCCGAUAUGGCGAAACCCUGUCUUUACUAAGAAUAUAAAAAUUAGCUGGUCAUGAUGUCAUGUGCCCGUGGUCCCAGCUACUCAGGAGGCUAAGGCAGGAGAAUCACUUGAACCUGGAAGGCAGAGGUUGCAGUGCGCUGAGAUCACAGCACUGCACUGCAGCCUGGGCAAUGAGUGAGACCCUAUCUCAAAAAAAAAAAAAAUUAAUUAAAUUAAAUUUUAAAAUGUAAAUAAAUAAAUAAAUAAAUAAAUAAAAGCUGUGGGUUCAAAUCCUGCUCAACAACCAAUAGCUGUGUGCCUGGCCUACAUAUCACCUAUCAGAGCCUUUGUUUUCUUUAUUUGUAAAAACAACAACAAAAAUAUCGGUAAAAACAAGCACCAUUACUGAGUUCGUUAUGUACAAGCCUCUGCUAAGCACCUUACCUGCAUUAUCUUAUUUAAUUGUCAUCACAAUAAACAAGUAUUAUUGUCCUCCUGAAACAAAAUACAUGAGAACAGUGUCUCUCAUCCAUGCUGCCGUAAUUUCUAACCCAAGCCGUUGCUCAUGCAGUCCCAUCUACCUGGAGUGUAUCUCUUUUUUUUUGAGACGGAGUCUUGCUCUGUCUCCAGCUGGAGUGCAGUGGUGCAAUCUUUGCUCACUGCAGCCUCUGCCUCCCGGGUUCCAGAGAUUCUCCUGCCUCAGCCUCCCGAGUAGCUGGGAUUACAGGCAAGUGCCACCAUACCUGGCUAAUUUUUGUAUUUUUAAUAGAGUCGGGGUUUCGCCAUGUUGGCCAGGCUGGUCUCAAACUCCUGUCUUCAGAUGAGCCACCUACUUCGGCCUCCCAAAGUGCUAGGAUUACAGGCAUGAGCCACUGCGCCCAGCCUGUAACCAACUCUUAUGCAACCUUCAGUGUUCAGUGUAAGGUAUCCAAAAAGUUACUUCCUGACUGUGAGACCUGGAUUUCCAAAUGAGGAAGCUGAGUCACACAGGGUGAGAUCACAUUCAAGUAAGAGACAGAGCUAGAGACCGGGUGCAGUGGCUCACACCUGUAAUCCCAGCACUUUGGGAGGGUGAGGUGGGUGGAUCACCUGAGCUCGGGAGUUCGAGACCAGCCUGAUCAACAUGGAGAAACCCUGUCUCUACUAAAAGUACAAAAUUAGCUGGGCAUGGUGGCACAUGCCUGUAAUCCCAGCUACUCGGGAGGCCGAGGCAGGAGAAUCGCUUGAACCUGAGAAGUGGAUCCCAUCUACUCAGGAGGCUGAGGCAGGAGAAUCGCUUGAACCCGGGAGGUGGAGGUUGCCGUGAGCCGAGAUCACGCCGCUGCACUUUACCCUGGGCAACAAGAGUGAAACUCCAUCUCAAAAAAAAAAAAAAAAAAAGACAGAGCUAGGAAGUGCUUACAACUUCCUCACGCUUACCUACAUUUCAAUUUCUGUUAUUGAAUCUUUUCCCCCUCAGAUAUACUCUAUCAGCUUCUAUUUUUAUUUUUAUUUUUAUUUUUUGUGAUGGAGUCUUGCUCUGUCGCUCAGGCUGGAGUGCAGUGGUGUGAUCUUGGCUCACUGUAGCCUCCACCUCCCAGGUUCAAGCGAUUCUUCUGCCUCAGCCUCCUGAGUAGCUGGAAUUACAGGCGGAUGCAACCACACCGGGUUAAUUUUUGUAUUUUUAGUAGAGACGGGGUUUCACCAUGUUGGCCGGGCUGGUCUGGAACUCCUGACCUCAAGUGAUCCACCCACCUCAGCUUCCCAAAGUGCUGGGAUUACAGGCAUGAACCACCACACCCGGCCCCUAGCAGCUUCUAUAAAACAACACUGGGCACCUGUCCCAUCCCCUGCUGCCUCCUUCAGUUCCAAAUUGCCACCAAAGCCUUAUUCAACCCUUUGCAACAGCCCUGUGCAAAAGGUAGGCUAGAUAUCAUCCCCAUGUCACAGACGGGGAAACUGAGGCUCAGAGAAAUGAAGCAAGUUGCUUGAGGCCUUGCAACCAGCAAGAGGAGAAACCAUAGGUGGACAACAGUGCUGUCUGACUCCCACUCCAGUGCUGUUUCCCCACCACAGCGAGCUGACCCUCGACCCCUCGACCUUCCCAGAUGGGAGACUUCACCUCAACUCCCACACCUACACAGGUGAUUAGGAUUAAAGAGAAAAUCAACAUGAGAUCAAUUUGAAAGGAAGGGCCCUGCAGGACUAAUAGGGUAUUUUGCAAAUAAGUAAAAAAAUAAAAAUAAAAAGUAAGCCUCCUUGAAAAAUCGUAAAAGAACUGGGGGAAUGAAUAAGCUGUGACUGUUCUAAAUCAGAUCAUAUUCCUACAAGACACAGGAGACCAGAACAGCUCCCUACAACCAUUAGCUCAUCUCACUCAUUUACAAGGCUCUCUGCUGAGAGCCAAGAGGGGGCCCCACCCAGAGAAAUCAUUACCUGGCCAGCACUUCACUGGGAUUUCAUGUCCCAGUAAAGUUUUUUCCUAAACUGGGGUACACAAUCGCCAACAUCUUGUUAUUUGUCAAAGAAUAUUAAAAGGAAAAAUAAAUUGCUACUUUCUGCUGUUACCAUCAUCUCAUAAAAUUCAAUAACAAGGACUAAUCCCAGAAUUUGGCAAUUUUAAAAAUUACCUAUGUAAGUGACUCACUAUGUUGUCCUAGUUUUCUCACUAGCCUUGGGCCAGUGAGAACUGUAUCUAAGAUGGGCAUUUGGCAACCCUCAGAUGAGUAGGAGAGAGAAAACAUGUAUGCAAAUAACUCAGAGUAGCUCAUUGCAACUUGGGAUGAGAGCCACAUAAAACUCUUCUAAUUACCUUAAUUAAAAAAAAAAGUUUUAUUGGAAGAGGGUUUUACCAGAAGAUUUUUUGGAUUCUGAGGGUUAUGUAGUGACUAGGGAUCAACCAAACAACCACUCUUGGCAAGGACAGAAAACUUCAAGAACACAUGGAAUCAGCCCAUUUGCAUGCGCUCUCUCUCUCUCUUCUCUCUCUCUCUCCUCAUUCUGUGUCUCUGCUUCUCUCUCUGCCUUAGCUGUCUUCUCACUCUAGUUACAGACAGGGUUCCUCCAUGUGGCAGAGAACAUGGUGGCUAAUGUUACCAGAAAAACUCUGAACUAGGUACGGUGGCACGAGCCUGUAGUCCCAGCUACUUGGGAGGCUGAGGUGGGAGGAUCGCUUGAGCCCAGGAGUUUGAGUCCAGUCUGGGCAACAUAGCGAGUCCCUACCUCUAAUUGGCGGUGGAGUGGGGGGCACUUUAGGCAAAUUAAAUUUAACAAAGUGUAACUGCAGAAAGAGCAAUUCACAAAUCCAGAGCCUUGCAGAACCCGGAUAGGUUCACAGCAACUCAGAGACUGCCACAGGGUCAGAUUACAUUUAUGGACAGAAAAAGGAAAGUUACAUACAGAAAACAGAAGUGGGGUACAGAAACAGCUAGAUUGGUUACGGUUGGCAUUAUUGGUACACUGUUUGAACUGUGGUCGGCCUGCAAUUGGCUGAAACUCAGCAGCUGUGACUGGAUGAGACCUAGCCACUUGUUACAAGAGUACCUUACGGUCUGUUUACAUACCUAAUUAGAUUACAGUUCACAAUGUAUGGAGAAACCUUUAGACCCAAAUUAAUAUACAACAGGUAAGGAAGAAGCUUUAGGUUAAACUUAACUCAGUUUCAGUGAGAAAGAAAAAAGAAAGCAACUGCCACAAAAACAGGGAAGGUGUCUGAUUGGCCCAGCUGGGUCAGAUGUCUAUCUCUGGACCAAUCAGCUGUGGGGUCUGUAACAACAUGGCAGCUCCCAUGAGAACGGCAUGGUUGGAGUCAGAAGAGGAAGAAGCAGAACUGGGCAGGUGAGCUGGGAAGAGAAUACCAUAGAUACCCACUAUGGAGAUGAUAAAUGCCCUAAUAGAUGUGCACAAAAAAUGUCAUGGGCAUUUAGGGGAUGAAGACACAAUUUCUAGCUGUGCAGCUGUGGUGAUCAGUCAGAGCUUCUUGGAAGAGGUGGCAUUCGAGCUGGGCCUUGAAGCCGAGAAUCAUCUGGAACGUACAGAGAUUCUAAAUGCCACCUCACAUUAGAAAAGAAAGAUGAUCCCUGGUAAUGGAGAAGAUAGCAUCCGAAAAAAUUAAAUAUGAAUGUCUCACUUUGUCAAGAUUUCAUAGGUUUUUUAUUUUUACAGAUGGUGUCUCGCUCUCCCUCCCAGACUGGAGUGCAGUGCAAUCAUAGCUCAUUGCAGCCUUAACUCCUGGGCUCAAGCGGCCCUCCAGCCCCAGCCUCCAGAGUAGCUGGGACUACAGGUGCACACCACCACACCUAGCUAUAGUUUUCAAAAUUUAGAUAUAAUUCAUAUAUAAAUUAUAUUUUAUAGUUAUUUUGGUGUUUAAUUUUGAAAUAAUUUUAGACUUACAGAAAUGUUACAAAAAUAGUUCAGAGUUAUCCUAAACUCUUCAUUUCCUACACCUUCACCUAGCUUUCCCUGAUAGGAACAUUUUACCUCACCUUAGUACAAUUAUCAGAACCAGGAAAUUAACGCUGGUACAGUAACCUACAUACCUUAUUUGAAUUUUAGCUGUUUUCCUUUUGAUCUAAUCCAAGGUCCAACAUUGCAUUUAGUUGUAAUGUCUUCUUAGUCUUCUCUAAUCUAUGACAGCUCCUCAGCCUCUCGCUUUUUUUCUCAAAUGACCCUGACACGUACUGUUCAGUCAUUUUAUAGAAUAUCCCUCAAUUUGAAUGUCUGAUUUUUUUUUGGUGAUUAGAUUGAGCUUAUGCACUUUUGGCAAGAAUAUCACAGAAGUAACGUUAUGCCCUUCUUAGUGCAUCAGAUCAGGGGCUACUUUCUGUUGAUAUGACUUAUUACUGGGCAUGUUAACACUGAUCAUGUGGUUAAAGAGGUUAUCUGCUGGGUUUCUCUUUUAUAAUUUUAUAAUAAGUGUCCUUUUGUAAUUAGUAAUUAUCUUGUGGGGAGAUAAUAAGACCAUGCAAAAAUGUAAAUUUCUUGACAUUUACGGUAUGUUUGUUUGUUUUUUUGAAAUGAAAUCUCCUUCUGUCACCCAGGGUGGAGUGCAGUGGCGCCAUUUCGGCUCACUGCAACCUCUGCCUCUUGGGUUCAAGCGAUUCUCCUGCCUCAGCCUUCCGAGUAGCUGGGAUUACAGGUGCCCACCACCACGCCUGGCUAAUUUUUGUAUUUUUUAGUAGAGACGUGGUUUCACCAUGUUGGCCAGGCUGGUCUCAAACUCCUGACCUCAGGUGAUUCGCCCACCUCGGCCUCCCAAAGUGUUGGGAUUACAGACGUGAGCCACCGCGCCUGGCCUACAUUUUUUUUUUUAAAGUGCUGUCAAAUGCAUGCCAUCUACUUUUCUUCAGUAAAUGUCAACUCUUUACCCAUUAUGUGCCAGUCCCUGUGGGGUGUGCCAAGCAGAAAAAGCACUGAUCUAAGAUGUGUGGUUCAGUUAUGUGUAGAUCCAUGACCUUGCUGGGCUUUAGGAUCCUUAUCUAUAAAAUGGAUAUCAUUAUAUCUUACCAGUAAGAACUGCUGAGGAUAAAGGCAGACCGUACUUGUGAACGUGUUCUGUAAUACAAACUAGGGUUGUUCAUUCUCCUUCUGCAGUGCUCAGCUCUGGCCUCACCUCUCCUGUUUGCAUUUCCCUUUUCCUUCCUGCCUGUGUUCAGGCCUGCAGACUUCUGUCUGUCCUCCCUGGUCUAACUCCCUUAUCCUAUUUGCCAAGCCUUACUGUGAUGUCAUUUAAUAAAUUUUGGAGACACAAGGAGCGCCUCAUAGAGAUGGACAAUUUCCUUCAGUAGUCUCCUGCUGUUUUUAGAGUUGCCUCCAGGUGCCUGGGCCUGUGGGUGUUGGGCAGGAGAACCUUCCUCCUAUGGCAGAAAUAAGUGGGAGAAGUAGGGAUUGCCUUCCUCCAAUAAUAAUGCUUUGGCCCUAAAAAGGAAACUCUUGAACCCCAUAGAAUAUUUUAUUUAUUUAUUUAUUUUUUUGAGACAGAGUCUCGCUCUGUCGCCCAGGCUGGAGUACAGUUGCACGAUCUUGGCUCACGCAACCUCUACCUCCCAGAUUCAAGCAAUUCUUGUGCCUCAGCCUCCCAAGUAGCUGGGACUACAGUGAUGCACCACCACACCUGGCUAAUUUUUGUAUCUUUAGUAGAGAUGGGGUUUCACUGUGUUACCAUGCUGGUGUCGAACUCCUGGCUUCAAGUGAUCCGCCCUCCUGGGCCUCCCAAAGUGCUGGGAUUACAGGCGUGAGCCACCGUGCCCAGCCAAACCCCAUAGAAUAUUGAAGAAGCCCAAAUGGAUACUUGUGUCUUACUAAGUGGACACACUUUAAAGUUACUUCAAAACAUGAAAGGAUGACUUACUCCAUAUCAAACCUCCUAAUUAAUCCAACAGUAAUUUUAUUUUAUUUUGUUUUAUUUUAUUUUAUUUUUUGAGACAGGGUCUCACUCUGUUGCCCAGGCUGGAGUGCAGUGGCACAAUCACAGCUCACUGCAGCCUCAACCUCUUAGGCUCAAGUGAUCCUCCCAGCUCAGUUUCCUGAGUAGCUGGGACUACAGGUGUACGCCACCAUGCCUGGCUAACUUUUGUAUUUUUUUGUAAAGACAGAGUUUUGCCAUGUUGCCGAGGCCGCUCUCGAACUCCUAAGCUCAAUCAAUCCACCCACCUCGUCCUGCCAAAGUGCUGGGAAUACAGUUGUGAGCCACCACACCUGGCCUGCAAUUUCAAUCUAAGGCAGGAUUUACUUAUUUAUUUAGAGACAGAGUCUGUCUCUGUUGCCCAGGCUGGAGUGCAGUGGUGUGAUCAUGACUCACUGCAAGCUUAAACUCCUGGGCUAAAACAAUCUUCCUACUUCAGCCUCUUGAGUAGCUGGGACUACAGGCACACACCACCAUGACCAGAAAGGUGUUUUUUUUUUUUUUUUGACACGGAGUCUUGCUCUGUCGCCAGGCUGGAGUGCAGUGGCAUGAUCUUGGCUCGCUGCAAUCUCUGCCUCCCAGGUUCAAGCAAUUCUCCUGCCUCAGCCUCCUGAGUAGCUGGGACUACAGGUGCGUGCCACCACACCCAGCUAACUUUUGUAUUUUUAGUAGAGAUGGGGUUUCACCAUGUUGGUCAGGAUGAUCUUGAUCUCUUGACCUCAUGAUCCUUCCCCCUUAGGCCUCCCAAAGUGCUGGGAUUACAGGCAUGAGCCACCAUGCCCGGCACACCUGCUUCUUUUUUUUUUUUUUUUUUUUUUUGAGACGAGUCUCGCUCUGUUGCCCAGGCUGGAGUGCAGUGGCACGAUCUUGGCUCACUGCAAGCUCUGCCUCCCGGGUUCACGCCAUUCUCCUGCCUCAGCCUCCUGAGUAGCUGGGACUACAGGCGCCUGCCACCAUGCCCAGUUAAUUUUUUUUUUUUGUAUUUUUAGUAGAGACAGGGUUUCACCAUGUUAGCCGGGAUGGUCUCGAUCUCCUGACCUUGUGAUCCGCCCGCCUCAGCCUCCUGAAGUGCUGGGAUUACAGGCGUGAGCCACCGCACCCGGCCCACACCUGCUUCUUAAAGGACCAAGUACUGGCUGGGCUCGGUGGCUCAUGCCUAUAAUCCCAGCACUUUGGGAGGCCAAGGUGGGCAGAUCCCUUGAGUCCAAGAGUUCAAGACCAGCCUGGGCAUAGCGAAAUCUCAUCUCUACAAACCAUUAAAAAAUGUUUUGGCUGGGCACGGUGGCUCACAUUUGUAAUCCCAGCAGUUUGGGAGGCUGAGGCGGGUGGAUCACCUGAAGUCAGGAGUUUGAGACCAACGGGCCAAUAUGGUGAAACCCCAUCUCUACUAAAAAUACAAAAUUUAGCCGGGCGUGGUGGUGGACACCUGUAAUCCCAGCUACUCGGGAGGCUGAGGCAGGAGAAUCAGUUGAACCUGGGAGGCGGAGGUUGCAGUGAGCCAAGACCGCGCCAUUGCACUCUAGCCUGGGUGACAAGAGUGAAACUCCAUCUCAAAAAAAAAAUGUUUUAAAG